UUAAUUAUUUUGUAACCUACCUUAUUCAAUUAUCAAAUUACGAAAUUACGAACUUUUCUGCUAAUAAAAUGUGCUAUUAAAGAUGGAUGCAUAUUGAAUUCAUUAAUCGUGUAACAUAGUAACUUAAAACUACAUUUUAUGUUCAAUAAUUUAGCAGACAUAAAUGUAAUAUUUUUACACACACGUGUUGUUUCAUUAAGAAAGCUUUUGACCAAAAAAUAAAUACACGUGAUAUCAACGGGUUAUAAAUAAACGGUGAGUCAUCCAAAUGGUAUAAAUAGUGUGUCCUAGAUAAUGGUGAACAUUCGUUAAUAUGCAACACGUGUGAUUACAUGUUAAAGGCAGUCAACAUGACUAUGAUGAACGAAGACGAAGUUCCUAACAGCACAUAUAGUUACCCCAACACACAUUUUGUUCAACAGAAUCGGUUUUUACCAGACGUUGUUCACUGUACAAUGAAAAUGGACAGUUUAAAUCAGGUUAAUUAUAACACUGAUCACGGUAGAUGCGUUAUGACUGAAACCACUGCAUACGGUACAGAGCAAUAUCCUGAUACUGCACCAGUGUUUUCCAGAGUAAAUAAAAAGAUGAGUUAUAGGGAGAGCCAAAGAGAUAUCAACGAUUUAUGUGAACAACUUGAUUCUGUAGAAAUGAUUGGUGAUGGUUCGAUGAAACGUCUCAACGAACUAGAAUCAUUUGAAGGAAAUCAUGGAGGCCAUGUGGCAGCAAACAUUGACGCUUCUAGAAUAUAUUUAAGGGAUAAAGAUGGAGAUACCCUCUUACAUAUAGCCAUUAUAUUACGUGAGGUAACAUUAGCAAUGGUGUUUAUUGGUAAAGCACCAUCAAACACCUGGUUGUCUUUUACGAACGUUUUAUUUCAAACACCUCUACAUCUUUCCGUAUUAACUAAUCAGCCAGAAGUCACUAGAAGAUUAAUUGUGGCUGGUGCUGAAGUAGAUAAGCGCGAUAAGGACGGAAAUACAUCAUUGCACAUUGCAUGUCGCCAAGGACAACACAAAAAUGUGCAAAAUCUUCUUGAGCCUGUCAGAUAUCAUGAAAUCAAACAGAAUUCUUAUGAUAUACCAUACCAAACAAUUCCACAGGAUUUAUCCAUAAAGAACUAUGAGGGAAUAACUUGCCUUCAUUUAGCUGCAUCACACGGACAUUUAGAUAUUGUUAGUAUGUUACUGGACAAAGACAUAGACGUUAACCUCAAGGAAGGAAAAACAGGUCGGACAAUACUACACAAUGCUUGCCUUACUGGUGAUUUAAAUCUAGUCAAAUUACUGUUAAGGCAUCGUUCCUGUAAUUUAAAUGCAAGGGCCUUUGAUGGGAGCACACCAUUUGACAUUGCACGUAUUCGAGAUCAUGAAGACACUUGCCUGAUCCUUGCUGCUGCAGGGGCAGGGUAUGGAGAAGAUUUAACAGACUCUGAUUAAAAGGUAUUAUAAAAGACUGCAAGUCCUUUUACAUUCACAUGUGCUGUUCCGAUUCAGGGGGAAAAAAAUAUUUAAUGUCUGACAUUUAUCUCAAUCAGGGAAGGAUUUUAGACAACAAUGUUCAUACUUAUAGUUAUGAUUCCACAAACAGUAAAACCGAAGUUGUAAUAUAUUUAUAUAAAUCCUAGUCGUGUACUUCUUAUAUGUUAAUGAUACUUUAAAUACCUCAAAGUUGUUAUAAACACAAAUGUUUUAUAUUAAUUAUCCACAGAAAAGUGCUCAAUUAACUUUUACAUGUAACGAUUUGAUAGGUUUCUACCAUUAUUAAUUUUCAAUGUAUCUACAUUCUGAGUAUACAAUUCAUAAAGUUUGCCAUUAUUGCCAACCUGCUUAACCAUAAUUAUGAUUCUCUUCUUGGAAACGCCAUACAUUUUUAUGUUUAUAAUAGUCUUUGUUAAUCUUGUUUAGUAUGUUAUUAUUUUGCAUCAAUUGUAUAGGAUAAUUUUUGUUAUAGGGCAAUAUAUUGUGAUAUCAAACGUACAAUAGAUGGUUUUCAUUGGUGCACAUAUGUUUUCAUUUGAAUGAUUGAACCAUAAUAAAGUGUUACUCUUUUGUAUAUACUGUGUAUAUAUGUUCAUAUUCAUUUCAACAAUUAUUUUUCAGUUUGUCGAUAUUCAUUUAUAAAAUUCAAACAAGUGUCUUUCCCUAUUUUAUUCAAGUUUAUUAUUUAAUCAUUCGGAUAGUUCACCAACAAAGUAUUUUAAAACUUGCACAUUAUUUCCAAAAAGACUUAGCGUUUGUACACUAUGUUAAUAAGAAUUAAUUAAAAAAUAUGUGUCUUAUUGCCAUGAACAAAAUUUGAUAUUCAAUUUAUCAUAAGUACUUUUGUUAAAAUUAUAGAUGUUGAAUUUGUUAUUAACUUGUUUCCUAGUGCCAUCAUGUGUUCAUCAAAUAUUUUGAUUAUAUAAAUGUUACAUGUAUUUAGAGUUUAGUUCAUUAUGUUAUGAUGUGGGUCUUGUUACUUAACAUAUUUACUAUGUGACGAUUUAAUUCCUUUACGUUCAUUUUCAAAUCCGAAGCCAUCUUGUUUUUGUUUUUAUCUUUACAUCAAUAUAUUGUUACUGAUGAUAAUUGUUGUUUGUUAAAAAAUCAUCAGCUCAUUUUAUACAAUAAAUUUAUAAAACAACGAUUGCUGUUGUUAUUUACGAGAUAACAUAUAUCUGUAGUACAAUCUCUGACCAUUCCUAGAGCGAGACUAAAAUUCUUAAAAUAAAACAUUCUCAAAAUUAAAAAGGAGGAA